rnacentral:rRNA from 1 species
AUCGAACGCUGGCGGCAUGCCUUACACAUGCAAGUCGAACGGCAGCACGGGUGCUUGCACCUGGUGGCGAGUGGCGAACGGGUGAGUAAUACAUCGGAACAUGUCCUGUAGUGGGGGAUAGCCCGGCGAAAGCCGGAUUAAUACCGCAUACGAUCUACGGAUGAAAGCGGGGGACCUUCGGGCCUCGCGCUAUAGGGUUGGCCGAUGGCUGAUUAGCUAGUUGGUGGGGUAAAGGCCUACCAAGGCGACGAUCAGUAGCUGGUCUGAGAGGACGACCAGCCACACUGGGACUGAGACACGGCCCAGACUCCUACGGGAGGCAGCAGUGGGGAAUUUUGGACAAUGGGCGAAAGCCUGAUCCAGCAAUGCCGCGUGUGUGAAGAAGGCCUUCGGGUUGUAAAGCACUUUUGUCCGGAAAGAAAUCCUUGGCUCUAAUACAGUCGGGGGAUGACGGACCGAAGAAUAAGCCCGCA